rnacentral:rRNA from 1 species
GACGAACGCUGGCGGCGUGCUUAACACAUGCAAGUCGAACGGAACGGCCCUGCUUUUUGGGGGUGCUCGACGUGCGAACGGGUGAGUAACACGUGAGUAACCUGUCCUUGACUUUGGGAUAACUUCAGGAAACUGGGGCUAAUACCGGAUAGGAGCUCCUGCUGCAGGGUGGGGGCUGGAAAGUUUCGGCGGUUGGGGAUGGACUCGCGGCUUAUCAGCUUGUUUGUGGGGUAGUGGAUUACCAAGGCUUUGCCGCGUAGCCGGCCUGAGAGGGUGACCGGCCCCAUUGGGCCUGGGCUGAGGCACAGCCUCCUCCCGGAGGCAGCGGUGGAGAGUAUUACACAAUGCGCGGGAGCCUGGUGCAACCACGCAGCGUGCGGGAUGACGGCCUUCGGGUUGUGAUCCACUUUCGCCUGUGACGAAGCGUGAGUGACGGUACUGGGUAAAGAAGCACCGGCUAACUACGUG